AUGCCGCGAGGUCCUGGGUCACCGCGUCUGAUCUACGGGGCGCUGGAGCGCUGGCGCCGAGGAGGAUGGGGGUGCAGGGGAGGAUGGGGCCUCCGGAGCCCUACGCCAGCCCCUUCUCGGUCUCCGCACGGCGGGCCCUUGAUUUUCGCCCAGAGACGUCUUGAAAGCUACCCCCCUGGCCCUGGCCUGAAGCUCGGGGCAGCGCCUGACCCCUGACCCCUGACCCCUGACCCCUGACCCCGCACCCUCUGGCGUCUGCCCGGCGCCGGGGUAGGGGGGAUUUGCGGAGGGUCCAGCGUAGCUGGUAAGCGUGUCACGCCUCCUCUGACUUCUCCAAGCCACAGACCACCCACCCUUCCCUGCCCCCGACCAACGGACUGAUGAAAGGAAGAUUACCCUGUUCUUCUUGGGUACCCUACCAGAGGAUUCUAGAAGCUUACUCCGUGACUUGGUGGGUAGGUUAAUGGUUACAUAAGUCACCCAAGGUGACUUGGCCAACAGGUGGCAAAGCCAGAGUUCAGACCCAGAUCUCUUGGGCUCCAGGGGCUGGACCAAGGACGGAGAUGCUAGACUUUUCCCUGAAAUAUUUAGCCCUAGCCCGAAUUGAACCCAGCUUAGACCACAGUGCUAAAGAAUAAACCGUAUCAGACCCUGAAAAUUGAAAAGUAAAGCUAGAACUCAGUAAAUGAUCUAAGAUAAGACUGUCUCCGGGCUUCAGUUAAUCUAUCUGGAUGAAGUAGAGCUGGACUUGUUGAUGUCCAAGGCCCCUCAGUCCUAAUAAUGUAAGAAUUGUAGAGAGUACAACUAGUCAUUUGCAGGCUGCCAUGAGAAUAUCAUAAUCAUGUUUUCUGAUCAAUAAAGACUUGCAGACUGAUGUGCAUGGAUGCCACAGCUCCAAGGUGAAGUGACCUCCUCCUUGGUGUUAUGGUUGGUGUCUAGAUGUCCUUCCAAAGCCUCAUGCAGUCAUAGAUCCAGAAUCCCCUCUAUGAGACUUCUGACAGAUGCUUAUCUUACUCCUAGUAUUGCCACUGAUGGGGAGGUUGCUGCUUCAUGAGGCUGCUAAGGUGUACUAGGGGAAGACAGGGAAACCUUUGUUCUCACAGAAACAACGUAAAGAGCAUCAUGGUACUCCUGGCCUCGUUGUUCCCCGGAAGGAGGGCUUCC